GAGAAUCUAUGUGAGACAAAGGAUCACAUCAAAUAAGAGAUACUCGGAUUUCAUGAGCAUUCAUCAAAGGUAUGUUCCAGUAAAAAGAAGAAUUAGAACUUGUUGAUUUUUAUUUUAAUCUUUUAAAUUUGAAUUUCACUAAAUUUUAUUUUUUUGAUGUUAUCAAUUGAGUUCUUCAGAUUCCACUCAUGUUAUACUAAAAUUUAGGUUUUAUAUAUAUAUAUAUAUAUAUAUAUUAUUUUUUGUUUUUGAUUAGAUCCAUAUGGAUUUUAGAUUUGAAAAACUAAGAAAAAAAGACGUAAUCAGAUUUGACAUAAACUGAAUGUUGAAUUCAAGUUAUUAAGGAAUUGAGAUAUGGCUAAUGAAAUCACAAAUCUGUUCAAACUCCAUCUAUAUCCAUGUGGACCAUGUCUCUCUAGAUUUCAAGGUAGUGGGAAUAAGAGAGAAAAAAAUCCAUGUUAAAGAUAGCAAAUAAGAGAAAUAGAUCUUUCAACUUUAAUAAGCUCUAAGGUUUCAAAGAUUUAUUGGCUUAAGAUAUGAAAUAUAUCUUUUUGUUAAUUUUCAUCUCAUUCACUUAAAACUGGACUUAAAUUUUGGAUCCCAGCACACCAUCUCAGAAGUAUUUUAUGUUGUGUUUGUCUUUCUUGUUUGCUUUCUUCCUCUUACGUUUUCAAUAAAGAAAGAAAAAUAGACUAAGAUAUUUAGUCAAAUGGUUUGCUGGUGUCAUUUUUGUGUCACUAUCUGGGCUCAAACCCAUCAUAAUACAUAUAUUAAGGGUUUAAAAUUUUGGUCCUAACAACACCUCCCAUAUGUUUUGCUUUUCUCUAAUCUUUUGUAUAUUGUCAUAAACACACCUAAUUCAUGUUAAUCUCUUUUUCGUUGAUCUCUUCCCUCAUACGUUGAAGAACAACAAGUCCCUCUCGCAUUAGUCUUUGAGUGAAAGAGUUGUUUCUCCCCUCUCCUAAUCUCCUAUCAUCAUCAUCAUGUGGUGCAAGAGAAAACUUUAUGUGGACACAACCAUCAUAUCCCUAAAUCCAGAAGCUCUAAUAACAUCCACAAAAAAAAAUAUAAACCUAUAAUAUAUAUAUAUAUAUGCCAACAUCACGUUAGAAUUAAGUUCAUUACCAAACCAACAAAGAGAAACCCAAAUCGUUUUCUUGCCACGACCACCUCCAUCGUUAUCUUUCUGUCAAAGGGAUUUCAUUUUUAUUGACAUUUUUAGGAGCCUAGGUGCACACAGACACAAUGGGCUCCUAAAAAGAUGAUUAAUGAAAAUCAAAAACAGAAAAGAAAACAAACACAAAAAAUAAAACAGGCCACAUCCCAACAAAGGGGAAACAAAACCAACAGUAGAAAAAGCCCAUGAGACACACCCAGGCCACGAGGCCCACAAAGCCCACAAACCACUUUCGAAGCCGAAACUACGUCAAACAAGCAGCAGCAUCCGGUGAUCUUUUUUUUGAAUCUACUCUUUACUAUUCUUUACUAUUCUUUCGUUCGAGUUGAAAUUCAUGGUUGGUGCAUCUAUUAACCCAUCAAACUUGUUUUAAAAAACUGACAAGCCAAUCCCCUCGCCAAGGCCAGCCCUUAACAUAGUUCGCCGAAACAUUGCCUUUGACCCCCACCCCCAAAGGCCAGCCCUUAACAUAUUUUUCGUAUUGUUCAUGGCCCAACUUAUUUCAGAACCAGUCGUGUCCCUCAGUCACCCCUUUGGCUAAAUUAUUAUAUAUAUAUAAACAAAAGUUAGAAAUUUGUUUUGAAGUUAUUAGAAUCACUAGACUUUCAUUCUACCAAAAAAAAGAAUCACUGGACUUUCCACCAGUUUUCUACAUCAUGAGUGCAUCUCUUCCCCUAGAUUCUAUGUUGCUAUUAAUAGUAAGCUGACAUUCAGUUGGCCCGUCGAUGAGGAUGAGCUAUCUCACUUCGAGCUAACUCUUUGUUUUGGCUCUUAUGCUAUUUUCUUUUCGUUUGUUUCUCUUUGUUGAAUCACAUUAUUGGCAUUUGAUUUACUAUUCUGAGCUUGUGGCAUAGAAUUUGUUGACACACUUAAUCGUACGUUUUACAAAGGCUUAGACUUAAUUUUUCUUACCAUUGGUGUUGACCUACAUUUCUAGUUCACGGUUAUUAACACACUUGUUUUAGUUAUCCUUUUAUUUACUAGGCUGGAUUAUUUAGUUUAGAGGUGNNNNNNNNNNNNNNNNNNNNNNNNNNNNNNNNNNNNNNNNNNNNNNNNNNNNNNNNNNNNNNNNNNNNNNNNNNNNNNNNNNNNNNNNNNNNNNNNNNNNUGUGUUGAUUGUGUUGAAAAGAUCAAGUAUCAACAAAAGUGUACACAUACCAAAUCCUAACACAAGACGAUGAUACACACCUCUGAACUUAAUAAUUUAGCCUAGUAAAAAACAGGAUAACUAAAACAAGUGUAUUAAUUACCGUGAACUUUAAAUGUAGGUCAACAAAAAUGGUAAAAACAAUUAAGUCUAACUCUUUGUAAAAUGAACGAGUAAAUUAGUUGUGUCAAUAAAGUCGAAGCCACAAAGCUCAAAUUAGUUAAUCAAGUGCCAAUAAUGUGAUUCAACAAAUAACGAGAAAUAAACGAAAAGAAACUAGCAUAAGAGCCAAAACAAAGAGUACAUGAACCAUCACAGGUUUUUCUAGCAACUGCAUAUAGAAAGGACACUCGAAGUGAGAUAGCACAUCCUCAUUGACGGGCCAACUGAAUGCAAGCUUACCAUUAACAACAACAUAGAAUCUAGGGGAAGAGAUGCACUCAUGAUGCAGAAAAGUGGUGAAAAGUCCAGUGAUUCUAACAACUUCAAAACAAAAUCCAAGCACAUCGUGUCAAACACUUCCUUAAUAUCCACUUCCUAAAAUUUUGGAAAAGCUCAUGAAAGGGAUCAUUAAGGCUACGGAUUGGGAUUAGAACACGCUCUUGCUUUUGAGAUAUGGCUUUCAAAUCGCAGUCCACUCUAUUUGGCGGGAAGGAAACAAUCUACGGCACGGAGAAGACCCUUUACUAGCACAAAAACUUGAGAAAAUCAUCGACAAGAACGUUGGUAAUCUGAUCACUACGUUUCAUAUUUUGCCUUUCUACUCGGUGAUAGUAAGAUUUUAGUCUAGUUCUCAAUUCCUAAAGCAAUAUCAUGUCAUUGCAGUACUUAAGGUUAUCAAUCCAAUCAGGUGUGAUGCAAACAAAUGAGAUAUGAUCAAAAAUCACUAAGUCAAGCCAAGCAGAAUUUGGUUGUUUUUCUAACAGUCCUAGUGAUUGAUGCAGAAAGUAGUAAAAAGGCACAAAAAUGACCUAUAUACUCGAUCACAAGCCUCACUUCCAGAAGGAGGAUGUGAUCGAUUUUGGGGUCGGAUCCCACACAUCUUCGGUAGGAUCCACUUGGAUCUGUCCACGUCAUUAUUACAUAAUAAUCCUCUUGGAUUUCUAGAUGUUUCAUUGCGAGAAUCGAGUUUGACCUGUCGGAAGUUCGAUUCAGUUUAUUAAAGAGCUCGAUCUUUACCAGUACAGUGUUCGCUCGAGAAUCUCGACGAACACCCUUCACUUCGAGAAUCUCGAACCUUCCGAAGCGAGGAGAAUAUUGCUCGAGGUUCACGGCAGCGUCAAGACGCAAGAGUUCGGAGUCAACAAAAAAGGGUUCGGAAGAUCCACGUGAAGCCCAAGAUAGUUCAAAUUCAAGCCGUUUCGGUCAAAUUGUAACCUAUAUGAUUAAUGGGGAUCAAUGCAAUUAUGAGCAGUAAAUGACCGCAUUAAUCAUGUUUUCUCUAUAAAAACAACCUCAAACGCGUGUGUUUGAAGAGAACAACUUUUUCCUCUUACGAUCAAGCAAUACAACAUACUUUUUCUUUUAUAAUUUUGCAAGGCUUUUUACUAUUUUAUUCUUUCCAAGUUCUUUCGCUUUAUUUAGUUUCUUGGUUACUUCCCUUUUCAAUUCCAUAUUUUCAUUUGUUGAUUUUAGAGUUUUUCUCCACAAAAAUACUUAAAGACAAUCGAGUGUGAAUCCUACAUCCACAUUUUGGCGACGCCUGUGGGGAGUUACCGCAAAACUCUUUGAUCUCAAAAUCUCUCUUUUUCAAACCAAGAAACUAUGGCUGAUCAGCAAGCUUUGAGCAAUGCAAUUGUCUUGCUUACUCAGUCAACCACCGAUCUGACAAAUCAGAUGAGUACACUCGCUAGUGCCAACGCCACUUUUGGUGAAAGGUUAAACUCAAUCGAGCAAACUUUAACGAGUGUUCAAAAUACUCAAACAAAUUUGUCAAACGCGCAGAACGUUGUUUCAAGCCGUUUAGAUAAUUUGUCCUCAGCACAAACGACAGCGUAUCAGCGCAGGCUAUUCCAAACUCCCACACUAAACAGAUCCGGGAGCACUCAAACUCCUCCUACGGGUCGUCCUGCUAAUACUAGGAAUCAGACAACCGUAGGAGAUGGGUCCAAUCCAACCGGGGAUGGAAUCCCCAAAUCAGGGCAAUCCUGCUAUUGACGAAGGACUCCUUAUGGAAGAACCUGAUGUCAUCCUUUCCGAUGAUUUUGUCAAAGUUCGUCAAGACCUUGAUGAGAUGAAGUCAAAGUUUCAUCAGGUGACCUGUUCGGCACCUGAUAUCGAUCGAGUAAUCAAAGAAACUCGACGAACACCCUUCACUUCGAGAAUCUCGAACCUUCAGAACAAAGAUUCUCGAAAGGUCAAAUUACCAAUUUACGAUGGUAAAGGUGAUCCUAAAAAUCACCUCGCUGCUUUUCAGAUCACUGCUGGCAGAAUUGAUCUAGAACCAGAAGAGGAAGAUGCCGGAUAUUGCAAAAUAUUCUCUGAGAAUCUAUCAGGAUCGGCUUUAUUAUGGUUCACUCAGUUGGAGCCUGAAUCUAUUGAUAGUUUUAAGGAAUUGUCCUCCGCAUUCCUAAAACAGUAUUCCAUGUUUAUGGAAAAGGCAACCUCUGAUGCAGAUCUAUGGAAUUUAACCCAAGGUCAGAACGAACCACUUCGCAAGUAUAUCGCUAAAUUCAAAGAAGUGAUAGCCAAAAUUCCUGGGGUAUCACACGCUGCUGCCCUUUCUGCUUUAAGGAACAGACUUUGGCAUGAAUCCCAAUUUCGGGAAGAGAUCAUCGUCAAUCGUCCGAGCACUAUCCAAGAUGCUUUAUUCAGAGCUACUAAUUGGAUGGAGGCAGAAGAAGAAAAGCUUAGCCUCGCCAAAAAGCAUCGGCCAGCAAAAUUGGUUGUUGGAAAUCCAACUAAAAAAUUCGAACCAAAAGAUCAAAAACGGUUCGGAGUUAAUCCUGCUACUAAUGCCGUAGGAAAACCCUCCCCAAACAAAGGAAGAUACAAUUCUUCUAAAACCUGGGCUAGAGAUGAGAGUGCCUAUUGCGAUAUUCAUAGAGUAAAUGGGCAUUCCACCAAAGAUUGCAGCGUACUCAAAAAGCACCUCACCAAACUGUGGGCAGCUGGAGAGCUCGCUAACUUCAAUAUCGAAGAGUUUGUGGAAUCUUAUCAUAAAGAAAAAGAAGAUUCCGAAGCGUCCAAUCCUCUUGAAAAGAAACACAAGCCCAAUGGGGCCGGAACUCCGAACACUCCUAAGAAAAGGAUCGAUGUUAUAAUGGGAGGAUCCAAACUGUGCCGAGAUUCGAUCAGAUCAAUCAAAAGGCACAAGAAAUCAGCAGCAAUUCAAACCGCUGUGGGUUUCCAGUCAAAUGAACAAACACCUUCUAUCUCUUUCGACAAUUCGGACACUCAAGGAUUAACAGGACCUCAUGACGAUGCUCUUGUGAUAACUUUAGAUGUUGCGAACUUCGAAGUAACUAGGUGUCUAAUUGAUACUUGAAGCUCGGUAGAUCUCAUAUUUCUAAGCACUUUGCAAAGAAUGGGAAUCAGUAAGGCUGACAUUAUCGGUCCACCGGCACCAUUAGUAGCUUUCACGAGUGACACAUCUAUGUCCUUGGGGAACAUAAAACUACCAGUGCUCGCCGCAGGGGUUCCUAAAAUUGUAGAAUUUAUUGUUUUCGACCGUCCGGCCGCUUACAACAUAAUUCUCGGAACUCCGUGGAUUUAUCAAAUGAGGGCUAUACCUUCAACUUAUCACCAGUGUGUGAAAUUUCCAACUCCUGCAGGAAUCAGAACCAUUCGUGGAGAUCAGGAAACGUCGCGAUCUUGCUACCUCAUGGGACAUCGUUUAAAGCUUAAAUAGCAAUUAAUGAUAAACGCUAAGCAAGAAAUCACUUCGCGUUACCCAAGUGGUCUCAGUUCAAGUGAAGUUACCACAUAAAUUGAAAUUGAUUCCGAAUUUCCAGAUCGAAAAGUAAAAAUCGGUACUACUUUAGAUUCAGAAAUCAAAGAUCAGUUGGUAACAUUUCUAAAAGAAAAUAAACAUACUUUUGCCUGGUCGGCGAAAGAUAUGCCUGGAAUCGACAAAAGUAUCAUUACCCAUGAUUUAAACGUCGAUCCCAGUUUUAAACCAAUAAAGCAAAAAAGAAGAAAACUUGGUCCAGACUGAGCUCAAGCAGUCAAUGACGAAGUCGAUAAGCUUUUGAAAAUUGGUUCCAUUAGAGAAGUGAGAUAUCCGGACUGGUUAGCAAACCCCGUGGUGGUCAAAAAGAAAAACAGAAAAUGGAGAGUAUGUGUCGAUUUCACCGACAUUAACAAAGCUUGCCCAAAAGAUAGCUUUCCUCUCCCACAUAUCGAUUGGCUCGUUGAGUCAACAACCGGAAACGAACUCUUAACUUUUAUGGAUGCAUUCUCUGGAUAUAAUCAGAUCAUGAUGAAUCCCGAAGAUGAAGAGAAAACAUCCUUCAUAACAGAUAGAGGAAUCUAUUGUUACAAAGUUAUGCCAUUUGGUCUAAAAAAUGCCGGUGCAACAUACCAACGUUUAGGUAACAAAAUGUUUUCAGAACAUUCGGGCAAAACGAUGGAAGUAUAUAUUGAUGAUAUGCUUGUAAAAUCUCUUAAGAAAUCCGAGCACAUCACACAUCUCGAGCAAUGUUUCAAAAUUCUGAACGAGUUCGGAAUAAAAUUAAAUCCCGCUAAAUGUUCCUUUGGCGUGCCUUCCGGAGAAUUCAUGGGGUACAUAGUCACGGAAAGUGGGAUAAAAGCUAAUCCUAAUCAGAUUAACGCUUUCCUUACUAUGCCCUUCGCCAAGAAACAUAAAGGAGGUCCAACGAUUGACAGGCAGAAUUGCUGCAUUAAAUCACUUCAUAUCGAAGUCUACCGAUAGAUGUCUCCCCUUUUAUCAAAUUUUGAAAGGGAACAAAAAAUUUCGGUGGGAUGAUCAAUGCAAAGCAGCAUUUGGUCAGCUCAAAACUUAUCUGACAACACCGCCGAUUCUCUCAAAACCUGAAUUAGAUGAGAAACUUUAUCUCUACAUUUCAGUUUCUAACCAUUCCGUAAGUGGGGUUUUACUUCGAGAGGACCGAGGUGAGCAAAAACCAAUUUUCUAAAUAAGUAAAUCUCUUACUAGUCCAGAAACGAGAUAUACCAUGAUGGAGAAAUUAGCUUUAGCAGUGGUCGUAUCUGCUAGAAAACUCAGACCUUAUUUCCAAUCUCAUCCUAUAGAAGUACUAACUUCCCAUCCGCUUCGCUCAAUUCUUCACGGGCCAAGUCAGUCCGGAAGGUUAGCAAAAUGGGCAAUCAAACUCAGUGAGUACGAUAUAGAAUAUAAAAGUCGAAGUAGCGCAAAAGCACAAGUUCUGGCUGAUUUUCUAACCGAACUACCAUUAGAUGAUAGAAUCUUUGUUGAAACGGACUCUACGUGGAAAUUACAUGUAGAUGGAUCUUCUUCUAAACAAGGAUCCGGAAUCGGCAUUAGGCUCGAAACUCCGACAAAGGAAAUAAUCGAGCAGUCAUUUCGGUUUAUGUUUCCAGCUUCGAACAAUGAAGCAGAAUACGAAGCUCUCUUAGCAGGACUUCGGCUUGCUCUUGCGAUUAAAGCAGAAAAAAUAAUAGCUUGUUGCGAUUCUCAGCUAGUUGUAAACCAGUUCGCUAGAGAUUACGAAGCUAAGGCUCCUCGAAUGGAAGCAUAUCUUUCGGUUGUCAAAAAAUUAGCCGGAAAAUUCAAAGAAUUCGAAUUAGUUCGAAUACCUAGAGAAGAAAACACUUCGGCAGACGCUUUAGCUGCCCUAGCUUCUACCUUAGAUCCUGAACUCAAACGAGUUAUCACUUGUUGAAUGUAUUUCCUCGCGAAGUAUUUCGGUUGAAGAAACAGAAAACGAUAACAUUUCGGCGGCCGAAUACAUCGAAACUCCAAAACAAAGUUCCGGAAAUAGUUCACUUGUCAUCACCAAAUCACGAGUAAAGUCUCAAGAUGACGAACUUACUCCACCAUUGGAACUUCCUAAAAGAAAGUCAAAAAGAAAGUUAAAGGAUCAAGAGGUUCUCAUUAAAGAACCAUCUCGAACCGAACAGUCACUUAUAGGUGAUGUAGAGGUUCAUGAGACAAUUGAAGAUCCUGACAUUUCUUCCGAACCCGAACCAAGGAAGUUUAUACUCAAGGAUAAUACUUCCGCUAAUGAUUGGGGGGCUGACUGGAGGGUACCCAUCAAAAAUUUCAUUCUUAAUGGAGAACUACCAUCUGACAAAUGGCAAACUCGCAAAUUAAGAAUCAUCAGCGCUAAGUAUUGUAUAAUUAAAGAGUCAUUGUACAAGCGAAGCGUUAGUGAUCCUUAUCUUUUAUGUAUUUUCGGACCCGAAAUUGAAAUAGUGACAAGCGAGGUCUACGAAGGGCUUUGUGGUAGUCAUUCUUCGGGGCGAGCAAUGGCUUUCAAAAUCAAACGAUUAGGAUAUUUCUGGCCAACUAUGAUUUCAGACUGCAUUGAUUACGCCAAACGGUGUAUAAAGUGUCAGAUGCACGCUCCUCUUAUUCACCAGCCAUCUGAAAUUCUAUCACAUAUAUCCGCUCCAUACCCUUUCAUGAGGUGGUCGAUGGAUAUAAUCGGUCCGAUGCAUCGUUCAACACGAGGCGUCCAAUACUUAUUAGUUCUAACGGACUAUUUUUCAAAAUGGAUUGAAGCUGAAGCUUAUAUAAGCAUACAAGAUUCCGUAGUAAAGACAUUCUUGUGGAAACACAUUAUUUGUCGCUAUGGAGUUCCCUACGAAAUAGUAACGGACAAUGGUCCUCAAUUCAUUUCAAAUGAUUUUGAAGAUUUUUGUUCCGCUUGGGGAAUAAAACUUAGCUACUCAACGCCGAGGUAUCCUCAAGGAAAUGGACAAGCGGAAGCCUCCAAUAAAACCAUUCUCAGCAAUCUUAAAAAACGCUUGAGUGCUCGAAAAGGUGGAUGGUAUGACGAGCUGCAACCUGUGUUGUGGGUUUACCGAACAACCCCGAGGCGGGCAAUGGGCGAAACUCCAUUCUCACUAGUUUAUGGGAUGGAAGCCGUAGUCCCGGCCGAGCUAAAUGUCCCAGGUUUGCGCUGAAGCGAAGCUCCACUUAACGAAGAGUCGAAUUCUAAAUUAUUAGAAGACGUUCUUGAUACAAUCGAUGAAAGGCGAGACCAAUCCCUUAUUCGACUUCAGAAUUAUCAACAGUUGACCGCUCGAUACUAUAACUCAAAGUUGAAAAACAGACCUUUAAAUGUAGGAGACUUUGUUUUAAGGCGAGUGUUCGAUAAUACAAAAGAAGAAGGAGCUGGAAAACUCGGUAUUAACUGGGAAAGCCGUUAUCAAAUCGCUGAAAAAAUCCGAAACGGUGUAUACCAUUUACAAGACCUUGAUAGAAAUCUCGUUCAAAGGCCUUAGAACAUAAUCAACUUGAAAAAGUUCUAUUGCUAAAGCAAACACAUUCGAACUACGAUUUGGCUUGAUCCCAUUCUGGGUACGUAGGCAGCUCGCUAAUCACGAGUCCAGCUAUAACAUAAAAAUAAAAAUAUUAUUCCAGUCAUGGAAUCCUGUUUUUCUAAAUUCGAUAAUCGAGCAUGAAUAUAAAGAUACGUUGCGAACAAUGUAUAAAUAAAUAUUUCUUGCUAAGGUAAGACCGAAUCUAGAAGGGUCUUGAAUUACGGAACAACUCCGCUCCUUGACCAGCGAAGUCAACGAUGCUCAUAAUGCAACCUGGCAUGUUUUCGUACUCCUGAAGUCCUAGUUCGAUCCAAUCGGAAUGUUGGGCUUCGAGGCGAUGAAGCUCGCGAGAUAUAUCGAGGCGACGCUUCUCUAGCUCCAUUAUCCGUUUCCUAAUCUUUUUCUUCUCAUCUUCGAGCUCAUCAUGCCGAGUGAUAAGCUGAAGAAAAUAAAACGUUACAUUUAGCAAUAACAAAAAGAAGUUAAUCACUAGGAUGGAAAAUAUCUUAUUGAUAAACUCCUCAGCCUUAACGCGAUCUUGAGGCAACAAUCUCUCGAUUAGAACGAUCGGAACCUGAAUGCUAGUUCCCUUCUUCAAUAUUUGUGAAUCUUUUGGUUCGCCGGACUCUCCUGCUCUUAUAAGCUCGAUGUCCGACGUCCUCGAAGGAUCAACACUCAUCACUUUGAACAAGUCUGAAGGAUUCUCUGAUGAGUUACCUCCCUUGAACAUUUUUGUAGAAUUGUUGUUGAAAUUCAAUGACAGACUACACCCACUUUAUACUCGAAAAAUUAUUCGAUUGCAUUUAAGAGGAUUAAUUGACGAUUUCCCAAAUCUGAAAUUACGACUUCCAUGGAAAAUGUAAUCGAGUUAAUUACUAAUUAUAUUCCCUAGAUUAAACGCAUUAAAUAUGAUGAGUUAAUCGGCGAAUUUAAAAGCAAAAGGGGAAUGUAAUUAAUAUUGUUGGGCCUCUAGCCCAAUAGUUUCUACAUAAUAUAUAAAAAAAACUAAGAAGGAGGGGGGUUCGCAGGAGGAACUUCGUCUGAUGGCGAACCAUCUUCGCGUUCGUCGGGUUCGAGGCUCCUUUGGUAGAUAUCCCAAUGCUUCUUCAGGAACCGAAUGUGUUCUCGAAGACAGCCGGGAAUGCGGGCGAUAGAAUCAAAUCCCCUCCUCUCCCAGUUGUGAACGUCCGACUCCAAACGUCGGAUCUUCCUUUCUGCUCUAGCAAUCCGAUCCUCAAGGCUCCAAGACGUUGCCUUUCAGAGCAGAGGAAAACGUAUCUUUCCGUGAUCUGUAAAUAACAGAUACAUUACGAAUUUAUUAAGUAAAACCUUGAAACUAUUGGUACUAGGUUCAAACCUGCUCCAUGAAUUCAUGGCACUCGAUCUGUUCCUCCCGGGACAUGGAAGGAAGAAAACAAGGAAUAGCCACCCCUUGUGGAGUGAAUCCAUCCCCCGACGGGAAAAGAGAUUCACUUGAAGGGAAUCGUGGUUAGUUAGGACCGGAAGGUUCGCCUUGGUGAGAAGUCAUCUUUGAUCUAAAAAAGAAGACUUACAAAGUUCUUUAAAAAAAAAUCUAUCGAAAAAUUUCCAAAAUCCAACUCUCCUUAUAUAGAAAAAAUAUGUAAGGGCACUCACUCGAGUAUUUAUUGAAAAAGAAAGUUAAACGUCAAUUUAUUGAUAUGACUGUUAUGACCUCUCGGUUCUCGUGUACAUGCACAAAUAAGACCUACGAAAUAUAGGUUAUUCAAGUAUCACUUAACACCUAGUAGGCGAACUUAAUUUCGAACUCGAAAUUCGAAGACAAUCAAUAAAUGGUAUCACACCUUUUUAUCUCUUAGGGAAAGCAAACAGUUCUCACUAGAGAUUUCCCUAAUCGAACACAUUUGAAAUAUCGCAAAGUGUUCUUGUAAGCCGAGUUCUAACCUCGCAACCGAGAGACCGAGGAAAAAUUCCAAUGUUUUUUCUUUUAAAAAGGCAAGUAGGUCUGAUCAGCCUAUCUCUCCUAUAAUCCUGAACCACCUCGAUUAGGAGGACUUUGCAAACCCUCCAGGUAAAAUCGAUGGUUUCCACCAAGAUUAAAUAUUUCUUCCUAAAGAAAUUUUAAUCGAAAACCCCCUUGGGCAAAUUAUUCAAAACAGUAAUAGAAGCCCCCUCGGGCAGAAAAUUUGGAAAAGAAACAAACGGCCUCAUGGCCAACAAAGCGAAUUUCAUGUCUUUAAAUUAAAGGGACAAUCCCCAUAUAAGGUGAAUGCAAUCACCAUCAUUCAUUCACAGGCGAACCGCCUUCUUCCCUUACUUGACUUGAGACAAGAGUACCCCCAACGUCAUCGUCUUGAGUCACGAGAACCACUUCAAGGUUAAGCGAGCUAGCAUCGAGAGGAGUCUCGUUCCUCGAUUCAACACCGUCUCCCAUAAUCGAGGAGAUGACAAGCCCCUGAUCAGAGAGUCCCUGAGCUCGUCCCGAGGAGAUUCUGUCAACAUUGGUUCCAAACUCAUUAAAAUGAGCGCGAGGAGAACCGGUUAACACCAUCUCGUCCAAGGACGAACCAAUGUUUGGUUCGGUCAAUGGAGGGGAAUCAGCGAGUUCAGAAGCAAACUGCUGCAAAUUCAGAUAUGGCUGAGAAGCGGUAUUUAGCUUAGCUACAGUCUCAGCUAGCUCAGCACCAACCGUCUCUUUCUCUUCAGCCAAAUUGACUUUUCCGUCCUCUAUCUCUUUGAUCAAAUCGAAAUUGCUUUUCAUUUCAUCGCGUUCGGAGUUAAGCUUGUUCCAAGCUUUGUCUGCAGCGAUAAAUUCCUGCACAGCAAGAAGAAACUUUUGCCCAGCUCCCUUAACCUCCUUCCCAGCAUCAUGAAAUAUUUUGCGAACAUCGCGAUCUUUCAGUUCGGAAAGAGACUCAUUUUUGCGUUCGAGCUCCUCAGCAGCUGCUUUAACCUUGUUAAGCUCUGAUCUCAGAAGCUCAAUCUCGCCUUUUGCGAAGUUAUGAUCAGCAAGGGCAGUCUCUAGCUUUUGCUCUGUCUCAAUCAAAGUCCUCCUUGUCUCCUCGCCGGAUCUUUCGAGUCUCUCAAUCUCUUCUUGGCGAGCCGAGUCAAGGCCAGCAGAUUCCUGCACAAGUCGACUGGAAGAUUACAGUUUUUCAAUCUCUCCUUCAGCGGCAGCAACUUUCUUGGAAACUUUGGCGAGCUCCUCUUCGUAAAAUUUAACAAUGGCAUUCACAUCCAAAGUUGCCUAAUAAAAGAAAUUUCAUCGUUAAAAAAAUAUAUAUAUUUUCUUUCAAAAUCGGCUAUAUGAAGAUGCAAACAGUCAAACCUGGGAAGAGUGAAAUGAAUGACUGAUGUACAUCUUCUUGAUAUCAGGCUUCCACCAAUCAAAGGAUGGAAGCUUCUUCCCAACACGGGUGUGGAAGCACCUAAACAUAUUCCCGAUCUUCUCUUUAUCUGGAAUAAAGUUAGUUGUGUGAGAAUUGAGUUUUCUUUAAAAGAAAGAAUCUAUUAAUCUCAAACAACAAAAUGAUAGUUAAAGGUUACUGGCUUGAGACGAAGCUCUGACAACCAGUCCUGAGUUCGAAGAUGAUCGAACCCUAGAGGUAUUGCCUUGGGGGCGCCUAGGGGGUAACAUCCCUGAACCCAGCGGUUCCUUCAAAACAGUUCCUGAAUCAGGAUUUGCAUCUUGAGCUUUAGCAGGUUCAGGAAUUGGAAGAUUCGAAGGAGCAACUCUGCCCUUCCUUGUGCUCUUGGGACGUCCCUGGGCCAGGGGUCCAAGUUCCUCAGCCUUCCUCUUCUUCAUAAGAGAAGUGUCACUUGCAAGGCCUUCCUCCUCAACGGUGGCAGCGGCCAUGUUCUCUGCUGCUGGGAUGGAGGGAGAAGUAUUGAUCACAGCAACCGCCAUUUACUUUGAACCUUCAAGAGAUCCAUCGUCAACAAGGAGAGUUUUCCGGUAGAAUUUGUCGUCCUCGGUGGAAGUUGCGUUUUUCUUGUUUUUCCCGAUUAGGGAAAUCUGAUCUUUAACCUUUUUGUUUGCCUCUUUGAUCUUUCUCUUGUCUCGGGCAUUCAGACUCGAGAGAUCAAUCUCAGCAGGAGGAGGGUCGACGGGGCGAGUAAGUGUCAUUCUGACAGAAAACCCGGUGCCGUGAAUUCUUUCCAGAGUAAAAGAAUUCCAAUUAACUGGCCUCUCCAAGACGGCCUUGUAAAAAUUGAGAAAAUCGACGGAUGGAACUGGUCGAAUCUGAGGACUUGCGAGAAAACAAAAAAAAAUGUUGAAACACAGUUUGAAAUAACAAAGGGAGCUUAUUCAGUUAAGUCCCAAUUUCUACCCAAAUUCGAUGACCAGUGAGUUCGAGGGAGUUCGGAAGAACUUUGAAUAGAAAAAUUAUUUAUGCGGAAAAAGAACCAAAACUUCCUCCAGGUGGUGUCCUUUAAAGGAAGGCCAUCAAUGAGAUUCCGAUCCGCGUUUGGAUAAAGGGUAUAAUACCCAGAAGUUCGGGAUUCGCGAGCUUGGAAAAGUUCCAGGAGUUCGCAAAGUCCCAAUGAGUAGCCCGCCUCUGCCGCAACAGUGAGGGUACACAAAAGAUACCGGAGCAUGUUGGGCGACAUCUGGGAGAAAGCAAUUCCCAGAUGGUUGAGGUAGACGAGAAGCACCUCAGGAAGGGGAAGGAAUAAGCCGCACCCUUUGAAAUAAAUUUCAUAGGCACAGCAGUAACCUUCUCACCCCGAUUCGGGAGACUCGAAGGGCUCCGAGACUACCAUCUCUACCUCAGGGGGGAUGAGACAUAGUCUAUGAAAAUUGUUGAGAGAAUCGAUAGUUGAUUCACUCUGAGGGUGAAGAUCAAACCCAUCUCCGGUUUGAAUCUGGGAUUCGGACCCUUCACCCAUGAGAGCUUCGAGAUCGUCAGCCUCGUAUUCGCAGAAUUCGGAAGAAAGGUUCGACAUUUUACAAAAGGGAUUUUUUACCAGAAAGAAAACAGUGACUUCCGUAAUAAGAAUGAAGGUUUUCUAGGUAAAGCAGAUAAGAUGGAAAAGUAAUAUUACCUCUUAGAACCCUAAAGUAUGAUGAAAGACCGCCUCGAGAAUAUUGGGAAGUGGGACAGUUUUCCCCGUGGUAUUAAUAUAAAAUUAAGAAAUUAAUGAUGACGGUUGUCAGGGAAAUCAAAUCAUCUGAUUAUCCAAGAUCAGCGUAAUAGCGAAAAACAUGGAGUAAUUCCGGAAUGUUAAAGAUCUCGAGUCAUUAAUUACAGUUUACUUAAGUCUUCCAAGCCGAGCACUCAGCUCGCAAGACUUGGGGGGCUAAAUGUUGGAGUCGGAUCCCACACAUCUUCGGUAGGAUCCACUUGGAUCUGUCCACGUCAUUAUUACAUAAUAAUCCUCUUGGAUGUCUAGAUGUUUCAUUGCGAGAAUCGAGUUUGACCUGUCAGAAGUUCGAUUCAGUUUAUUAAAGAGCUCGAUCUUUACCAGUACGGAGUUCGCUCUUAUUCAACAUAUAGUUCGCAUAAAAGAAGGCCGAAGCGAGGAGAAUAUUGCUCGAGGUUCGCGACAGCGUCAAGACGCAGGAGUUCGGAGUCAACAAGAAAGGGUUCGGAAGAUCCACGUGAAGCCCAAGAUAGUUCAAAUUCAAGCCGUUUCGGUCAAAUUGUAACCUACAUGAUUAAUGCGGAUCAAUGCAAUUAUGAGCAGUAAAUGACCGUAUUGAUCAUGUUUUCUCUAUAAAAAAAACCUCAAACGCGUGUGUUUGAAGAGAACAACUUUUUCCUCUUACGAUCAAGCAAUACAACAUACUUUUUCUUUUACAAUUUUGCAAGGCUUUUUACUAUUUUAUUAUUUCCAAGUUCUUUCGCUUUAUUUAGUUUCUUGGUUACUUCCCUUUUCAAUUCCAUAUUUUCAUUUGUUAAUUUUAGAGUUUUUCUCCACAGAAAUACUUAAAGACAAUCGAGUGUGAAUCCUACAUCCACAAUCGAGUACCAGGGUCCAAAAACAGACAAUUUUCAAAUCUCAAUAGCAAGUAACAGAGAAGGUGAAUAAAACAGGUAAGUAACCAGAUAAAUCAAUUGGAUGAGAAACUCCUAAGGAUGGGGUAAUCGAAUAGUGUGGUCUCUCUAAUCAAUUGCGAUGGUUAACAAUUCUCAAUGAAGCUAUCCCUAGACAACAUGUUCAACAACAGAUCAAUUCACUCUCGUGAUAGAAAUCCUUAGACAAGGCUAGACAAAUCACCUGAUUCCCAUUAGCGUAAUCUAGCUAUGCAGGCAAUAAGAACUGACUGUUAAAGUCAAUAACCGCUCUAAACGGCCAAUCCCUUGGGAUAGAGACGAUUAUCACUGGAAUUAGUAGGUCCAACAUUCCAUUAAACACCUCAUGAGCGCUAGAAUGUCUGGGAUUGGAUUCCAGUUGAUCAGAAAGGAAUAAGCAGUAAACACAACUAAUCCAGAAGGGAUUCAAUAAAUCUACACUUAACCAUCAGAAUCGACAAGGGGUCGUCUCACAACUACUCUAUCCCAUCCUCAGAAAUCCUAGAUACUACUCAGACAACAUGCUCAAAGACAUAGAAACGAUUGAUGAUUGCAUAACUUGAAAGAUUAAAAGAAAAUGAAACAGAAAUGAACAAGAAAAUGAAAGCAAAAUCUCAAUGACUUAGAAGAAUCGAAAUACAAAGUUACAGAAGUAAAAGUGGCUACUAUAAAACAAGAGUAUAUCGAGAAUUCGGUUCUGGUCUCUGUCUUAGGGGAAACCCUUAAAGACUUAUUUAUAACAAAAACGACAAAGAUAAGAAAGUGGGCUUCGAGUCCACUUAACAGGCCCAUGGACGAUGUAAUCGAGUAUGUGGGCUCAAAGUGGGCUUCAUGGUCGAGCGUGAAUCGAAGCCGCGAUCGAGUGGUUCCUUCUCUCCUCUUCUUUUUCCUAUGCUCAAGUUGUCUGGUUGAGUGCAGAUUGAUCAGAGGGUCGAGGUGGCGAUCGAGUAGGUUGGUUGAUGGCAUGAUCUGGGCUGCUUCUUCUCUCCUGUGAUCGAGUAUGUGGGUAAACUGUCAGGAUGGACUGCCUCCUUUUCUCUACGAUCGAGUAGAACUGUAAACUGUCAGGAUGGACUACCUCCUCUUCUCUACGAUCGAGUAGAACUGCCAGGAUGGACUGCUCUUUCUCCUCUGCGAUCGAGUAGAUCUGUCUGAAUGGCCUGCUGAGCUGACUGCUUCCCUCUCUGCUACUGGUGAUCGAGUAGAUUGGUCAAAAUGUGACUUUCCGCUCUGUUUUUCCUCUUUCUAAACACCAAUAGCUCCAAAGUACCUGAAGCAACUCCAUAAUACAAAAUGCAUGCAAGACUAAUGCUAGACACACCUAAACAUGCAAAAUGUACAAAAUGAUGAUGAAUGCUAUGAAAGAUGAAUGAAACUAGACUCAAAAUGGUGAUAAAUGGAUGUGUAAAACAUGAAAAUUAUAGACAUAUCACUCGGCUUAAGGUUGUAAGCUUUAAAAGAUUAAAAGUUUUAAAAACGAUGCACUUGAUGUAACAAUGGUUUUUUUUAUGACGUAGCAGACAUCGACGAAUUGAUGAUAAGCCAAAGGGCUUUUGAAAGAAUGUGCAAUCUUUUAUUUCUCAAAGUCUACAAUAGGUUCGAAUUCAGCAUGUUUCCAUGAUUUCGACAUUAUUGAAUGUGGUGUCCAGCUCUUGAAGGAAAAAACAGACGGAAAAACCAAUGAUCUCUGGAAUACACAUGAAUCCGAUGAAUCGUCAGACAAAAACCAAGACGACGAUGAUAGUAUGGCUAGCAGGAGAUCCAAAUCUGAAUCGUGCACAGCAUCUGACAAAGAAGACGAUGAAGCCUCCAAAUAAAAAGAUGAGGAUACCAUCGAUGACGGUGACUACGAAUCCGUAUCAAGGAAGCGCCUGAGGAAGACGACUACAAUUCUAAAGAGGGAAAUUCAAAAACGAUGUUUUAAGAGAAAAAUGAGUCCUAAUCUGUGUUUAAAAAGUUUCCGUAUUGCAUUAUUGGAACUUCGGAGCAAAAGAAAGCCAACUCCAUCGAAAGUCGAAACAUGCUUAGGAUUCAGCAGUGGUGAGUUUGUGAUAUCCUCCAUGCAUUAGAUAUUCUGUAGAGACUGUUGGAUUAUUAGAGAGGAUGAAGAAACAGAGUAAGAGAUAAGAAGUUAUCUCUUCUCUUUUAAAGAAGAAAAGUAAACGAAAGAACUCUUUAUUGAAUCUGAAACUUGUUUUAUUUACUCGACAACGUUUUAGAAUAACAC
rnacentral:lncRNA from 1 species